ensembl:lncRNA
UGGUGAGACGAUGUGUUCACAGAAAACCUGAAGACAUUGAUACAGCUGUGGUGUACUCAACAGUGAGAACUGAAGAUGUCACUUAUGGACAAAUAGCCAUCAAACCAAAGAAGACCAGAGGAAACAAGCAUGAUACAGGAAACAGCAAAGGCAUCAUUUGAUACUGUGAACUGCACAGCAGAGCUUCAGUGCAGGAUGUGUCUGUUUGAGACUGAAACACUUUAUGUCCUUGGACACUCAGAACCCAACCAGCAGCAGGUGACAUGGUGCAAAUGUUCAUUUUAAUGAAGUGUUUAAUCUUGUAAUCUUCUUCUCAUUUUGUAAUGUAAUGUAAUGUUCUGUAAUGGCAUAGACUCAACCACAGGUCACCUUGCAAUAGCCACAUAUCAGGUGUGGUCAAACCUGUGUCAUGAGUGAGAAACAAGUUUCAAACUGAUUCAGAUUAGGCCCAUUUUGUCUUGGUACUCCCUUUUAUUAGCAAGAUGAAUUUCUAUUUAAUAUGAGGUCGAUUAAAAAAAACCCAAAAAAAACAAAAACAGACUGAAUGUAUCAAAUGUUAUUUUUUGAUAUUUAAUUUUGUCUUCUCUAGAGUCCUGAAUGUAAAACCAAAGCAGCAACUUCACUACAGUGUUUUCUAUUUUGGUUAAUAAUAGCUUUCAUGCUGUGAGAACAUGUUUGCUUUGUGCUUUGUGGUGAAGUGCAUCAGUUUGUAGAAAC